rnacentral:rRNA from 1 species
CGUGCUUAACACAUGCAAGUCGAGCGGUAAGGCCUUUCGGGGUACACGAGCGGCGAACGGGUGAGUAACACGUGGGUGAUCUGCCCUGCACUUCGGGAUAAGCCUGGGAAACUGGGUCUAAUACCGGAUAUGACCUCCUAUCGCAUGGUGGGUGGUGGAAAGAUUUAUCGGUGCAGGAUGGGCCCGCGGCCUAUCAGCUUGUUGGUGGGGUAAUGGCCUACCAAGGCGACGACGGGUAGCCGACCUGAGAGGGUGACCGGCCACACUGGGACUGAGACACGGCCCAGACUCCUACGGGAGGCAGCAGUGGGGAAUAUUGCACAAUGGGCGAAAGCCUGAUGCAGCGACGCCGCGUGAGGGAUGACGGCCUUCGGGUUGUAAACCUCUUUCAGCAGGGACGAAGCGCAAGUGACGGUACCUGCAGAAGAAGCACCGGCUAACUACGUGCCAGCAGCCGCGGUAAUACGUAGGGUGCAAGCGUUGUCCGGAAUUACUGGGCGUAAAGAGUUCGUAGGCGGUUUGUCGCGUCGUUUGUGAAAACCAGCAGCUCAACUGCUGGCUUGCAGGCGAUACGGGCAGACUUGAGUACUGCAGGGGAGACUGGAAUUCCUGGUGUAGCGGUGAAAUGCGCAGAUAUCAGGAGGAACACCGGUGGCGAAGGCGGGUCUCUGGGCAGUAACUGACGCUGAGGAACG